GGGGGAGGGGAGAUCUCGGCCCACUACCUUUGCCUCCUCUCCCAGAAUGAGAACAGAACCCAGGCAUCCGGCCCACAAUCAACCACCCUGCUGUCCCCCUUCUAUAGCUGGGGAAAGAACCCAGGUAUCCAGCCUCCCAUGUGUUUGCUCCUGUGCCUGGCCUUCCUCAUCUGCUCUGUGGUGUCCAAGCCCAUACGCUACAUCAGCCCCAGUGACUAUGAGCUGCCAUGAGCACUGUGUUCUUCAUUGCCUACACCUACAGCCAGGACACCUUGUGUUCUGGCACCCAUUGGGGCUGGAGUGUCUGUGACUCCACCUCUUGCAACAUGUUUCCCCUGCUGCGCAUAGUAUAGCUCUUGUGCAAAGUGUUCUCAUUUUUCAUGUACCACACCUGUUCCUCUGUGCAACAUUCAGCCCUCAUGCAGUUUUGUUUCCCGUGUCAUGUAUAGUCUGCAUGCAACAUGCAGCACUCAUGUGACGCAUUCUUAUUUCCUUGUGCAAGGUACAGCCACUGUGGGACAUUUUGUUUCCCUGUGUAACACACUGCAAUGCAGAGCACAUGUUGCACAGCCCUCAUGCAACAUGUGCUUAUGUCUACCAUGUACCACAGAGUCCUUAUGUGACAUCUUUGUUUCUCCAUGUGACGCACAACCCUGGUGUAACAUGCUCUUGCCCUGUGCAACCCACA